AUCAAGGAUUUCCUCCUGACUGCAAGAAGGAAGGAUGCCCGUUCUGUGAAAAUCAAGAAGACGAAGGACGCAGUCAAGUUCAAGGUUCGAUGCAACCUUUUCUUUAUUACUAUUAAGGAAGCUUUUGCAACUCGUAUUUCUGGAUCUGCUGACCUUUACAAAUGCAUGGGAAUUUGCCUUCUCAAAGCCAGUUAGCGGAUUAGGAAUUCGUUGUUACUCAGCAUUCAGCUGUACCAAAGGGGAUUUUGUCAUUAUAGCGAUUUCACUGCUGCUGACUUUGUGGACCAUCCACCUCCACUUUCAGUUCUGGAGACUGUAGCUACUGUAUAAUGGUUGCAUUAUAGUUAAUACAGAGAGGAAUUCUUCAUUUUAAGAUCUUGUCAGUAUAUAUUCAAUGACAGAAUCUGAAGAAAGAGACAAGAUGAAAGGCAUGUAGCAAAUCAACUGCGCGCCAGUCAAAGAACAAACCACCGGUCAUUUUGGAAUGAUAUUGCCACUCCAUUUUUGCUUCUUGCAGAAACUAAUCCCCUAUAGUCAAAGCCUCAAAGGCUAAUCAAGUGCUUCACAUUCCCUGGAAAUAUCAAAACAGAUCCCACAAUAGCAU